AAUCACGGAGUAGGUAAAAACCACACCCAGAUAAGGCAAUCAAGAAUUAAACGGCGUCUCGCGUUCAUGUCUGAGUGAGAAAUUAACAUCAACUUCAAAAAAGGGGCGGGGCGGUGGAGAGGAAAGGGCGUGGCCCUGUCACAAUCAUGGCAGAAGUGCGCACGUCAUUUGGGGGCGAGAAGUGACAGCGUAAAUAAGAUAUUCUGUCAGUCUCAAUUAUGAAUUGCCAGCAAACCACUUGUCCGACCAACAGAACCCACGCUAUACACAAGGUGUCCGAAGCAUAGCACCCUGGCCGUACUACGCUGCCUCGCUUGCACAGUGAUCGUGGUCGUCUUGGCUGCAGGUCUUCGGAAUCUUACGUAUUUUGGAUAUAUAAUGAAACCUGCAGUUGGUUUAAACAGCAGCAAAUGCACUGGAAUAUUGUAAAAGAAUUGUGACACAGGAAACAGUCGUCACCGACGAUGGGAAUAAAUCAGAAAUAUGAUACGCUGUAGUUUUUAACAAGGACGAUUUAUCCCGAGUCACAAAAUAACGAACUACACUUUAACAGAUUACAACAGAACCAAAAUGAAUGAUACAGUUGAAGGAAUUUUAAAGACUUUUUCCAACAUAGGGACAAAUUCAACCAGUGUUGAGAACUCGACGGCAGCAGUCACAAAAUGGAGUAAACCUUGGAUGAUAUCAGUUUUCAUUAUGUUAAUGGUUUUAAUCUGCGUUGGCAACUGUAUAGUGCUCGUGGCAUACUGCCGAGUGAAAAGAUUACGGACAAGUAACAGUGUUAUGAUGGUACAAUUAACAGUUACGGACCUAAUUGCUGGGCUGACCCUCAUCUUUCAUGCAGCUACGGUAUCGUACGAUUACUUAUUUGAGGACAUUUAUAUUUGUACCUUAUGGUAUGCUCUCGUAUUUUUCCCCGGCAUGGCAUCAGUUCUGUCGCUUUUCAUGAUUACAGUAGACAGAUAUUUUGCCAUAAUAUACCCACUAAAGCAUAUGUCACGCAACAAAAAAGCG